GCCUGGUGACAAAGAGAUUGGAUAUGCGCAUUCACGCGACCACGCUGUUUUUUGUUUUCCUCUUUGAAUGAAUACACUAUUGUCCGGUUGGAAUAUUAUCGCUAUUUUAUGAAAAAAUGUGAUUUUAAAUAGCGUUUGACAUGUUUCUAAGUUCGGUAAUGGAACAUUUUGAAUUUUUUUUGUCUUUGGAUAGUGACCUGUACGCACGUACAAAACGGAGGUAUUUGGACAUAACUAUGGAUUAUUUGGAACAAAAACAACAUUUCUUGUGGAAGUAGCGGUCCUGGGGGUGCAUUCUGAUGAAAAUCAGCAAAGGAGUGUCAUCUGAUGAAGAUCAUCAAAGGCCGGUGGUAGCUGGUCUGCUGCAGGAAGAUGAGGUACUGGAGGUCCCUCCGCCCCCCCCUGGACAUCGAGGGGCCCCCGGCAUAUACAGUCCGGUCCAUCUUGGACUCCAGGCACCAGGUGUGGGGUCUGCAGUACCACGUGGACUGGGAGGGGUACGGCCCUGAGGAGAAAUGCUGGGUACCGGUGGGGGACAUAUUGGACCCUACGCUCAUCCAGGACUUCCACCGCCUCCAUCCGGA
rnacentral:lncRNA from 1 species